rnacentral:rRNA from 1 species
AUUGAACGCUGGCGGCAGGCCUAACACAUGCAAGUCGAGCGCAGCGGCGGACGGGUGAGUAAUACCUAGGAAUCUGCCUGGUAGUGGGGGAUAACGUUCGGAAACGGACGCUAAUACCGCAUACUAUCAGAUGAGCCUAGGUCGGAUUAGCUAGUUGGUGAGGUAAUGGCUCCCCAAGGCUACGAUCCGUAAGUGGUCUGAGAGGAUGAUCAGUCACACUGGAACUGAUACACGGUCCAGCCUCCUACGGGAGGCAGCAGUGGGGAAUAUUGGACAAUGGGCGAAAGCCUGAUUCAGCCAUGACGCGUGUGUGAAGAAGGUCUUCGGAUUGUAAAGCACUUUAAUGUGGGAGGCGUUACCGACAGAAGAAGCACCGGCGAACGCUGGGCCAGCCGCCGCGGUAAUAC